GAAUCUAAACAUGCAGGUAGCCUAUAUGUAGAGACACUAGCUAAUAUGUUUACCAUAAUUAGAUUAAGGGUACAUUAGAACUAAUACCUUUUUGUUUCAUUGUGUAAAUUUUGUUAUUUAACUGCUAUCAUAUUAAAAUAAUGCAAGAUGCACACACUUUUCAGAAUUCUUAUUCAUUUGCACUCAUUUUAAAACUACACAAAAAUAAUUCACAAAAAUAAAUUGUCAUAGAUUCUAAUUAUUUGGAGAAAAAAAAGUAAAACCUCUCAAAAGAUUUCUUAUUCACAGUCACAUUAAUUGUUCUGAGCA